rnacentral:rRNA from 1 species
GUGCCAAGCAGCCGCGGUAAUUCCAUCUCUGAGAGCUUUCUCUUAUGUUGCUGCAGUUAAAAUGCCCGUAGCCGUUAUUAGAGAAAUCGUAUCACUUUGAGAAAAUCGGAGCGCUCAUAGCAGGCAUGCCGUUGUACAGCACAGCAAAGUAUGAUAUCGGGGUCGCAAGACUCUAUGCAUUACACGGCGGCGCGGGGCCAAUGGUAUUUUCUGGGGACAGGUGAAAUAGGAUGAUCCAGAAAGGACCUACAGGAGCGAAGGCAGUUGGCAAGCGCCGUCCGGUUGGUCAAGGGCGAAAGUGUAUGGAUAGACGAUGAUUAGAAACCGUUUUAUUAUACGCCUUAAACGAUACCAUCUCGGCAGAGGGCCUAUUGCUCUCAGCCCCAAAGAAAUCGAAAGACUUCAGGCUCUGGGGGAAGUAUGGUCGCAAGGCUGAAACUUGAAGGAAUUGACGGAAAGAUACCACCAGAUGUGGAUUUUGCGGUUCAAUUUGACUCAACACGCAAAUCUUACCAGACCCAGACACUUUUUGGAGCAACAGAUUGAGAGUUCUUUUGCGAUUGGGUGAAAAGGUGGUGCAUGGCCGCUCCUAGUUCGUGGUGUUAACUGUCUGCCCCAUUGCGAUAACGAGCGAGAUCGAUAGGAUAAUAAUUUUAUCCGAGCGCCAGCGCUGAGCUGGACGAACGUAUCGGCUCUAGCAGGUCUGUGAUGCCC